rnacentral:rRNA from 1 species
GAUGAACGCUGGCGGCGUGCCUAAUACAUGCAAGUCGAGCGAACAGACGAGGAGCUUGCUCCUCUGACGUUAGCGGCGGACGGGUGAGUAACACGUGGAUAACCUACCUAUAAGACUGGGAUAACUUCGGGAAACCGGAGCUAAUACCGGAUAAUAUAUUGAACCGCAUGGUUCAAUAGUGAAAGACGGUUUUGCUGUCACUUAUAGAUGGAUCCGCGCCGCAUUAGCUAGUUGGUAAGGUAAAGGCUUACCACGGCGACGAUGCGUAGCCGACCUGAGAGGGUGAGCAGCCACACUGGAACUGAGACACGGUCCAGACUCCUACGGGAGGCAGCAGUAGGGAAUCUUCCGCAAUGGGCGGAAGCCUGACGGAGCAACGCCGCGUGAGUGAUGAAGGUCUUCGGAUCGUAAAACUCUGUUAUUAGGGAAGAACAAAUGUGUAAGUAACUAUGCACGUCUUGACGGUACCUAAUCAGAAAGCCACGGCUAACUACGUG